CCCUUAGAUGUUCUGGGCCGCACGCGUGCUACACUGAGUGGAUCAGCGGGUCAGGUUGCGCGAAAGCGUUUCCUAAUCUUUAAAUCCGCUCGUGAUGGGGAUUGACGGUUGCAAUUUUCUGUCAUGAACGAGGAAUACCUUGUAAGCGCGGGUCAUCAUCCCGCGCUGAAUACGUCCCUGCCCUUUGUACACACCGCCCCUCGCUCCUACCGAUUGAGUGGUCCGGUGAGGCUUUGGGAUCUGAGCGGAAAGAGCGUUUCGCUGUUUCUGCUCGGAAAACUCAGUCGAACCUUAUCAUUUAGAGGAAGGAGAAGUCGUAACA
rnacentral:rRNA from 1 species